AUUGUGUGUAAUAUUUGCUGUAGACUUUUUUCUCCUGAAAUUGAGAUGACCAUAUGUUUUUCCCCUUUAACCUGUUCAUAUCAUUAAUUGCAUUAAUGAUUUUCUAAUGUGAAACCAACCUCUGUUUCUGAGAAAAACCAAACUUGGUCACAUGUUUUAGUAAUUAUUCUAAUGAAGGAUAUGGACUUUUUAUUUUUCUUUCUUGUAUUCAUUGUCCUUAUUAGGUUAUGAUACCUAGGUUAUAACAGAUUCAUAAAAUUAGUCACAGAGAGUACAGACUUUUUCUGUUCUCUGAAAUAGUUUGUGUAAGAUUAGAACUCUUUGUUACUGCAUUGGUUUUUAUAAAAUUGCUGAUAUUUUUCUAAACUUAAAAAUACAUUGGGAAGUUUGUACACUUUUCAGACUUUUGUGUCAAGUGCAUCAUCAUCAUAUUUAAUGCCUUUAAUUAUUCAAUCCAGGGAGGUUGGAGGUAUUAACUUCUUUUUUUUCCGGUAGAGAAAAUGAAGCUGAACAGGUUAUAGAUAAAUCUAAAGAUUAUAUAGCCACUAAAUGGCAGACUAGAACUUGAAUCAAGACUUCCUGGCUCUGAAUCCAUUGCACAGCACCACGUUUUCAUUGAUGGUCUCAGGAAGUAUUGAUAGUUGGCUGACAUGGUUUUAAAUUCUUUGGAAAAAAAUUUAUAUCGCUUCUGUCUCUUUUGAUGUUAUUGCUUGCCAUCACUUUUUUACUUUUUUUCUUUUUGCCCCACAAUUUGUUAUUUCUAAAAUGUGCUCUCAGAGACAACAUAAGUUACAAUUUUGUAACAGUGGAUAUGCUCUGAGGGUCUGAGCGCCAUUCCUAGAAGUGACUAGCAUUAGCUUCCUUUUUUGUUGUUGUUAUUUUUGUUUUUGCUUUUUAGGGCUGCACUCUUGGCAAAUGGAGGUUCCCAGGUUAGGGGUCAAAUCGGAGCUACAGUUACAGGCCUACACCGCAGCCACAGGAUCUGAGCUGCAUCUGUGACCUACACCACAGUUCAGGGCAACGCUAGAUCCUUAAUCCACUGAGCGAGGCCAGGGAUUGAACCUGCAACCUCAUAGUUCCUAGCUGGAUUUGUUUCCACUGCACCAUGAAGGGAACUUCAAACAUGAGCUUCUUAACAUCCAUUUUCCAUGCUAAGCUUUUAUCUUUGUUUCUCUCUGUUAUGAAAUUUUCAGAUUAUGAGACUGGAUUAUUUUUCUAGCAUUGAUUAGAUUAUAAAAUCUUUGAGAACUUCUUAUACAUUUCCAUAUCCCCAGUUCCAAACACAAUGCCUUACACAACACCACACACUCAUGAAAUGAAGGCUAUGGUAAUGAUUUUGUAAAACACAUGAUAAAUCAGAAUCCUCAGUUCUCUUUUUGACUGUGUCAGGAACUCUCUAUAUUGCUUAAUUUCAAAAGCCUUCAGUUUCUCAUCUGUAAAAAGGAGGAAUAUAAUUUCAUUUUCUCUAAUGACCCAACCAAUUCCAAAAUGCUAUACCGUAACUGAUAAAUAUCAUAGCAUACAGUUAAUGCUGAUAACAAUUAAAAUUGUCUUGAGAUAUUCUCUUUGUGAAAAAAUUCAACACCAGUUAUGUCGUGUCAAUGAAUGAAAUAUGUAAUAUGUUAAGACAUAUCAUUUGGAGUUCUUGUCAUGGCUCAGCAGAAAUGAAUCUGGCUAGCAUCCAUGAGGAUGCAGGUUCGAUCCCUGGCUUUGCUCAGUGGGUCAAGGUGUAGCUUGCAGACAAGGCUUGGAUCCUUUGCUGCUGUGGCUGUGGUAUAUAGGCCGGCAGGUACGGCUCCCAGCUCUAAAAAGACAAAAAAAAGUAUCAUUUAUGUUCAAAUAAGUUGUUGUUGAUAAUAUCUAACUUGGAAAAGAUGGUUUUUGUUUGAUCAGAUACUUUCCUCAAGCAGCAAAGCAGGGCAAUAAUAGAGGCCAACAAUUUUUGUUUCUAGAGUUCAGGUUAUUAACAGCCUGGCUUUUUACCAGGCAAAUUAGAACUUGCAGUAUGGGAUGGAGUUCCCGGGUGGCCUGUUGAGUGAAGGAGCUAGUGUUGUCACUGCUGUGGCUCAGGUUACUGCUGUGUGUGGGUUUGAUCCCUGGCCAAGGAACUUCUGCAUGCCAU
rnacentral:lncRNA from 1 species